rnacentral:ncRNA from 1 species
UUAUUUUAUUUUACAUGUAAAUUUUUGUGUGAAUUUAUUUAAUUUUUAAAAAAUUAUUUAGUUUAUUUAUUCCCAGUGAUAAUAUUAAUAUAAAAAAGAAAUUUUGUAUAAGUAAUAAUAUAUAGUAUUUGUAAAAUUUGUGCCCAGCAGUCGCGGUUAUACAAAUAAUACAAAUAAAAAUUUUUAGUAGUAGUUAAAUUGAUCAAAUUUUAAUAUAAAUAUAAAUUUAUUAGGUGAAAUUUUUAAAAUUUAUUUAUUAUUAAUUUUAAAAAUAAUUUAAACUAUAAACUUUUUAUAAUAAACUAGGAUUAGAUACCCUAUUAUUAAAAAUAAAAUAUGAGCAUACUAAAGUAGUAUUAGUUAUAUUCUUAAAAUUUAAAAAAUUUGGCGGUAUUUUAGUCUAUUCAGAGGAAUCUGUCCUGUAAUUGAUAGUCCACAUUGAACCUUACUUAAAUUUGUUUAAUUUGUAUAUCGCCGUCAUCAGAAUAUAUUAUAAGAUAAAAUUUUCUUAAUAUUUAAUAAAAUAAUAUGUCAGGUCAAGGUGCAGUUUAUGUUUAAGUAGAGAUGGAUUACAAUAAAUUUAUUUAAUAUGGAUUAUUUUUUGAAAUAAAAAUUUGAAAGUGGAUUUGAAAGUAAUAUAAAAUAGAUUAUUUAUAUGAUUUUAGCUCUAAAAUAUGCACAUAUCGCCCAUCGUUCUUAUUUUUAAAAUAAGAUAAGUUGUAACAUAGUAGAUGUACUGGAAAGUGUAUCUAGAAAGA